rnacentral:rRNA from 1 species
GAGGAGCUUGCUCCUCUGACGUUAGCGGCGGACGGGUGAGUAACACGUGGAUAACCUACCUAUAAGACUGGGAUAACUUCGGGAAACCGGAGCUAAUACCGGAUAAUAUAUUGAACCGCAUGGUUCAAUAGUGAAAGACGGUUUUGCUGUCGCUUAUAGAUGGAUCCGCGCCGCAUUAGCUAGUUGGUAAGGUAACGGCUUACCAAGGCAACGAUGCGUAGCCGACCUGAGAGGGUGAUCGGCCACACUGGAACUGAGACACGGUCCAGACUCCUACGGGAGGCAGCAGUAGGGAAUCUUCCGCAAUGGGCGAAAGCCUGACGGAGCAACGCCGCGUGAGUGAUGAAGGUCUUCGGAUCGUAAAACUCUGUUAUUAGGGAAGAA